GCUUUUUAGAGACACAAUCACUUACAGUGUAGGAGUGACUCUCAUAGUGGGAAUUUCAGGCAUCUUGGUAGUCCAGAGGGAUUGAGGUUUAGGGCAGUUUGACCUUUGACAUUCUCAAAUGACGAAUCUCUCUGUAACUUUUGGAACAGCUAUAGCAACACAACUCUAUGUAAGACUUCCCCUUGUCUAGAGAUGUCUCUCAUCGUUUAGACCCAGACUGUAAGACCCUGAUUGCUUACAGGGCACAUUUCACCUGGCACAUUUGCCAGGAUUGUUUACAUCAAAUAGGUGAGACGAUGAGAUACGCUCUCCUCUGGACGAAGAGCAGACUUGCUCACUGCUUGCUGUAAAGGCUGUGUGUUCCCUGAACUAAGUGUCCUCCGAACACAACACAAGCCCACUACAUGCACAGCAUCCGUUUGAGCCCAUUGUAUCAUUAAGAUUUUUUUAAAAAAUAUUUUAUUUAUUUAUUCAUGAGAGACAGAGAGAGAGAGGCAGAGACACAGGCAGAGGGAGAAGCAGGCUCCAUGCAGGGAGCCCGACGUGGGACUCGAUCCCGGGUCUCCAGGAUCACACCCCGGGCUGCAGGCGGCACUUAAACCGCUGAGCCACCAGGGCUGCCUGUAUCAUUAAGAUUGUGUGACUACUGAUUUUCAGGGUUGCUAGACAGUUUAACAUUUGGAAAUCUAUUAAUAUAAAUCCUUAUUUUAGCAGAUUAAAGAAGAAACACCAGGUCAUUUUAUUAAUUGAUGUUUUUCUCUUUCGGGUAUUGUUGGCAUAUUUGGAGGGUGUAUUUUAGGUCAGUUCUCACCUCAGUUUGCAGAUACCUUCUGGAGUACUCAGCGAAUUUUCCAGUCCAUACACAUGUAUAGAGAAGAGCAAGGAAAGGAGGAGAAAGAAGAGUCCAUGGAGGAAUUGUCUUCAAUAAUGAGAACAGGAGAGGAGUAUUACAUAAGCAUAUUAUACAAAGCAUGUAAGUAUCUCCUUGGCUGAUUUACUAAAAACUUCAGUGAAAUUCAGAAGCAAAAACUGUC
rnacentral:lncRNA from 1 species